rnacentral:rRNA from 1 species
UACGUAGGGUGCGAGCGUUGUCCGGAAUUACUGGGCGUAAAGAGCUCGUAGGUGGUUUGUCGCGUUGUUCGUGAAAACUCACAACUCAAUUGUGGGCGUGCGGGCGAUACGGGCAGACUGGAGUACUGCAGGGGAGACUGGAAUUCCUGGUGUAGCGGUGAAAUGCGUAGAUAUCUGGAGGAACACCGGUGGCGAUGGCGGCAUCCUGGACCACGACUGACGCUGAGUGAGCGAAAGCCAGGGGAGCAAACGGG